CCUGACGACCAUAGCAAGGUGGUCCCACUCCUUCCCAUCCCGAACAGGACAGUGAAACGCCUUUGCGCCGAUGAUAGUGGACGGACGUCUGUGAAAGUAGGUCAUCGUCAGGC
rnacentral:rRNA from 10 species